AAGUCUUCGUAUUCAGGGCCCCUUUGGGAGAGCUUCACGCGGACGGCUCCGGCUCCGUGCUACAGUGCCGCGCACUGUGCCGCACUGUAGCACGGAGCUGAAACGAAACAGCUUUGCCUGCGGCAGGAGUGAAGCCGCUGAAGCUACGGAAGGGUGGCUUCACCGGCUCCGCGCUACAGCGCUGCUACAGUGCGCUACAGUAGACGAAGCCGGAGCCGGUGAAGCCGUGCCAAACAGGCCCUCAAUCUUGCCCUGGUAUAAAGGUGCUUCCCCCGAGCCUACAGCACCGUCUGGAUCAUCUCGAGGAGAAAGAGCUAGACGCCCGUUACGAAGAUCUGCCAGGAUGGGAAUAUGCAAUCAGGAGGCGGCUGGCGUGCUUGAAAUAAGAUCGAAGACCCGAUGAAAGUUAUCACCAAGCUAGGAUCGUUACCAGACCAGCAAAAAAUGAUGGAUUAUGUGGCUCGGGGUAGAAUGUAUUACAUGCCCUUUCUGCAGAUUAUUUGAAGGCCUUGAUGUUGAGCAGAAAACAAGUCCCAGGCUGCAAGCUGAAGAAUUUGGCGUGUUGAGCUCCAUGCUCCAGUUUUUUUAUCAUUCUUUAUUUAUUUUUUAUUUUCAAGUGCAUGAAUUAGUGUGUGCUCCAGCAUAAACGAAACACAGGUAGCACUUUCAAAUUUUUAUGUGUUUUUCUGCAUGACUACAGAGGACUCUUGCUGGUGUUGUUGUUCGACAAGCUGCCUUUUGAAAUGCACUGAAUGUAGUGAACUUCAUUCCA